rnacentral:rRNA from 1 species
UACGAAGGGGGCUAGCGUUGCUCGGAAUCACUGGGCGUAAAGCGCACGUAGGCGGACUCUUAAGUCGGUGGUGAAAUCCUGGAGCUCAACUCCAGAACUGCCUUUGAUACUGGCGAUCUCGAGUCCGGGAGAGGUGAGUGGAACUGCGAGUGUAGAGGUGAAAUUCGUAGAUAUUCGCAAGAACACCAGUGGCGAAGGCGGCUCACUGGCCCGGUACUGACGCUGAGGUGCGAAAGCUAGGGUAGCAAACAGG